rnacentral:rRNA from 1 species
UACGUAGGUCCCGAGCGUUGUCCGGAUUUAUUGGGCGUAAAGCGAGCGCAGGUGGUUUAUUAAGUCUGGUGUAAAAGGCAGUGGCUCGACCAUUGUAUGCAUUGGAAACUGGUAGACUUGAGUGCAGGAGAGGAGAGUGGAAUUCCAUGUGUAGCGGUGAAAUGCGUAGAUAUAUGGAGGAACACCGGUGGCGAAAGCGGCUCUCUGGCCUGUAACUGACACUGAGGCUCGAAAGCGUGGGGAGCAAACAGG